UACGAAGGGGGCAAGCGUUGUUCGGAAUUACUGGGCGUAAAGGGCGCGUAGGCGGCUUAUCAAGUCAGGCGUGAAAUUCCCGGGCUCAACCUGGGGGCUGCGCUUGAUACUGAUUGGCUUGAAUGCGGGAGAGGAUAGUGGAAUUCCCAGUGUAGAGGUGAAAUUCGUAGAUAUUGGGAAGAACACCGGUGGCGAAGGCGGCUAUCUGGCCCUAAUUGACGCUGAGGCGCGAAAGCGUGGGGAGCGAACAGG
rnacentral:rRNA from 1 species